CCCUCCUGUCCCCACUGGGUUAACGGCAGCCACAGUUUUCAAUAUCACAAAUGACACUGCUGCUGAGGCACAGGAAACAUUCUCAAAACUGUACAGUUCAGUGAACAAAGAGACUCAGGAACACAUGAAAUCAAUGAGGGAAAUGGAACAACGCUGCUGUGGGCUGACACCACAGAAUUAAACUGCAUUGGAAAGCAGGAGGCUUGAGGAGAGAGCCGGGGACGAGCGGGAGAAGAAGAUGACGAGGGAAUGCAAUCCCAGUGCCAGGAGAGGAAGAAGAAUGUGAACGAGGAGCAGCAGCAGAGACUGGAGAGGCACGGCCAGCACAGGUACAUCUCAACAGUGCAACGCGAGUCUUCUUUCCAUGUACACAGAAGAUAUCGUUUUUAAUGGGGACAUACGGAAGACCCGAAUGCAUGAUGGUCUCAUUGGAGGAUUACAGGUUUUCCCCAUUUCAAGCAAAAAAUGUUUUUUUUUUUUUGUUUUUUUUUUGUUUAUUAUUUUAUUAUACAGCUGGUAAAAAAAAAUGUGAUUAGAAUGAUUUGUUCAU